GACAAACAACACCAGCUGUUGACAAAUGAACACAAUGUGCCAAAUAUUUCAAGUUGUCUUCUGAAAUUUGUGCACAAUAUCUGCAAGUUGACUUCAGUCAAAGUACAUCACAUCGAGACAGAUUUUAGCUGGGCAUUGAUCCAAAGUGUUCUGUUCUCAUUCAACAAAGAAAAUGUUGACACUUACUUGCACAGGGCACACACAAAAUGUCAUUACAGACUCCAGAAGAAGGACCUAAUGAGAUUCACAGUGGUGCAUAUCUGUGCUACACAAAUGGUGAACACCAUCUCAAAUGCAGUCAGCAAAGUGACAAAAGACAAGGGUUGCACAACUUUGCAAAACAGCACCAGUCUUGAACAAGCUAAAGCAAUCUUUCUGCAGAUGUGCUUUGUCUUUUUGGCUGAAAACAAACACAAACUCAAAACCUACAUAAAGCAAAUCGGUUUGGAUGUUGAGGAUGACAUUUGCCUCAAGGCAUGCAUCCCUGCAGAAGAUGGCAUUCCAAUGUCAAAAAACACAAUAAUUGGAUGCAUUUGGUAAAGUAAUGGAAGAGGCUAUGGAGCUAAUGUUACUGACAUUGCAAUUCAAGAAGAUGAUUUUGAAGUACGUGAGGAAGGUGUCCAACUUGAUAACACCAAGCAGCUAAAGACAUGGUCAGAAGUAGCUGCAAUCAAAGAUCCUCAAGAAAAGGUCAUCUUUUUUCCUUUAAUGUUGUGAAAAAAUUGUGUUCUGUGAAAAACAUAACAUGCAAAUAAAAACUUUCUUUAUAGAUGCAUGCUCUCUGGAAGACAGACAUCGAAGAGGCUGUCAUCGCUUCUCUGCCUUUAAGCCGAGAAAACCACAAGCACACUUUGGUUAUGAGAGUAAAAGACUUCAAAACACUGUGUCCCCAACAAUGGCUAUGUGGAGAGGUAAGAUUUUUUAAGUGAAAAAAUGGACAUCAAACCAUUGAAGACAAAAGACAAACCAUUGCAGCGCAGAGAAGCGCGAUGGAUGAACUUCAGGGAGAGCUCGGUGAGCAAAAUGCAGCUCUGGUGAAAGUAAUGGAGAUGACCAUGGCGAAAUACUUUAAGGAGGCUGACGAGAAAUCAGAAGCUCGCUUCAAUAGACUUGAGAAACGAAUUGAUAAUAUGCAUGCAACUCUCUCGCGGCACACGGAAGAGAUAAAGAACAUUCACACUGAAUCGGUGAACCUCCGGGAACGUGUGGCCAAUGUGGAAAAAUCGGCUGCCCUAAGUUUGAAGAAUCUACAAACUUAUGAAGCUAAACUAAUCGAGAUGAAGGACAGGGCACGCCGGGAUAAUUUGCUCGUAUUUAAUCUCAAGGAAAGAGUUGAAGGGGCGAAUGCUCGCGCCUACCUGAUGGAUAAGAUCUUGGAAUGGUUUCCUGCCCUCGAAUCCUCGCGGCCUGAGCUGAUGAGGUGUCACCGCCUGGGUAAACCUCCUACGCAUGGUUCUGCAAAGACCCGUCCUCGUCCGCUUAUGGUUAAGUGCCUCCGUUUUACGGAUCGAGACCGCCUGCUUGGUGAGGCGAGGAAAAGCCCUCCUGAGGUGGAUGGCGAGCUACUGACAUUUACUGCAGAUUAUAGUGAGUCUACAACAAGGCGUCGGAAGCCGUGCUAUAAGAUCAUGUAUGAUGCCCGUUGCCUUGGAUUCGAGGCCUUUCUUCUCUCUCCAGCUACAAUUAAACUUUCACGGGGGAAAGAAAUGUAUACGUUUCAAAAGUUACGCACAACAAUGUGCGCUCAGGGUGUUCCUUGGGGUAUUAAGUUGGGGAAUCAUCCCCUUCACGAAAUCUGUGCCACUAAGGGUAAAAUUAAAGAAAAGAUUGGUGUGAGAUCAGAUGGAGGCCAAUGAAACUUAAACACACAAACCAGCAGGAUGGAAGUAGUUGCAGGGCUUUUGUUAUGAAGUUUGGUGAGGUGAUACUCGGGUUGGCUGUACCAAACCAUUCAUCCAUCGCGGCAAGGCUGGAGGCAAUAUCUGAAAUUAGGCAACAGAUGGCAGCUGCUUCUUCAGAGCCUAUUGAAAGUGUUUGCCAGUCUUGUGGCUGCAAAGAGAUCGCUGAGAAUGCACUGUGGUGUGAUAUCUGCUUGCAUGGGCACAUUCAAAAUGUACGAAUCUGACCCUGAAGGAGUCAGUGACCCAGUCCAUGGCUUUGCACAUUUUGUGUUGUGUAUUGAUGACACGAUGCUGUAAUGAAAAGUAAUAUUAUGCUAUUUUGUUAACAAAAGUUUCUAUAAAAGGGCCAACUAAAGACAGUGAUGUUGUUUUAAUGCCUUAUUGUGAAAGAUAGAGUACUUUGAGAAAUGAAAAUGUAGAAUUAAAGUUUAUUUCUAUAUUUCUUAUCCAAGUGUGUUAAUUACAAGGUUGAUUCAUUCUUAACAUUUGUUAUACCUACAUAAUUUUAAACUGAACUAUUUUUUUUAAUCAUACCAAGCUAUUUGUAUCUUGUGAAUCGGUUUCUCAGCCCUGUUACACUGACAUUAUAAUAAAACUGUUCAUUUCAUGAGAAUGUGAAUCACAGUUUCUUUGUAAAUCAGAAUGGUUAAGUUAACCACUCAGGAAAGGGUUAACUGACCCAAAGUGUUCUGUAAAAGUUUUCACAAAUCAGGUUCAAUCUACAAGUGUUUUUGUAAUCCAGCGGUGUGUGUGUUUAUUAUAAAUUGUUAUUAUACAUUGUUUAAACAUGAAAAACGUCUAUUUUCCACAUUCAUGUCUACCGACAAGAGCUUUGCUGUGAAAAAAAAUUCACAAAUCAAGCAUGUCAAGAUGACACUGGGUUCAGACUCCUAAGUGACCGACUUU